UCAAACUUGGUCAUUUAGAGGAAGUAAAAGUCGUAACAAGGUUUCCGUAGGUGAACCUGCGGAAGGAUCAUUAACAAAUUAUCCAUUUAUGGAUGGUUAAAAUCCAUAUCCACCUCCGUGUGCACAUCAUUGACAUGUUUGCUUUGGCAGUUUUUUUUGCGGGGAAAAAAGGUGGGGGGGAAAAGAGAGGGGAAAAGAAACAAAAAGAGAGGGGAAGAGAAAAACAAUUUUUCUUCUUCUUCUUGUUUUUUCCCCCUUCUCCUCCCUUUUUUUUUUUUCAACCGACGCUGCCAGAGUUUUUUUUCAUCUUUUUCACCUUGACAAACUUUUGCUUUCCUUCUGGAAGCAAGUCCCUUGAAAAGAGAAACAAAAAAUUAAAAUAAAAUCGAAUACAACUUUCAACAACGGAUCUCUUGGCUCUCGCAUCGAUGAAGAACGCAGC
rnacentral:misc_RNA from 1 species